rnacentral:rRNA from 1 species
UACGAAGGGUGCAAGCGUUACUCGGAAUUACUGGGCGUAAAGCGCGUGUAGGCGGUCCGGUAAGUCCGCUGUGAAAGUCGGGGGCUCAACCCUCGGAUGCCGGUGGAUACUGUCGGGCUUGAGUACGGAAGAGGCGAGUGGAAUUCCUGGUGUAGCGGUGAAAUGCGCAGAUAUCAGGAGGAACACCAGUGGCGAAGGCGGCUCACUGGCCCGAUACUGACGCUGAGGCACGAAAGCGUGGGGAGCAAACAGG